rnacentral:tRNA from 2 species
UGUUUAUUAGUGUAAAGUUAAGCACAUAAAGUUUUGAUCUUUGAGGAAGCGGUUUAAUUCUGCUGUAAAUAA